rnacentral:rRNA from 1 species
GACGAACGCUGGCGGCGUGCCUAAUACAUGCAAGUCGAGCACAGGAAACUGACGGAACUCUUCGGAGGGAAGGCAGUGGAAUGAGCGGCGGACGGGUGAGUAACACGUAAGGAACCUGCCUCAAGGAUUGGGAUAACUCCGAGAAAUCGGAGCUAAUACCGGAUAGUUCAACGGACCGCAUGGUCCGCUGAUGAAAGGCGCUUCGGCGUCACCUUGAGAUGGCCUUGCGGUGCAUUAGCUAGUUGGUGGGGUAACGGCCCACCAAGGCGACGAUGCAUAGCCGACCUGAGAGGGUGAUCGGCCACACUGGGACUGAGACACGGCCCAGACUCCUACGGGAGGCAGCAGUAGGGAAUCUUCCACAAGGGACGAAAGUCUGAUGGAGCAACGCCGCGUGAGUGAUGAAGGUUUUCGGAUCGUAAAACUCUGUUGUAAGGGAAGAACACGUACGAGAGGAAAUGCUCGUACCUUGACGGUACCUUACGAGAAAGCCACGGCUAACUACGUGCCAGCCGCCGCAGUAACAC